AUUCCAGCUCCAAUAGCGUAUAUUAAAGUUGUUGUGGUUAAAAAGCUCGUAGUUGGAUUUCGGCGGGUAUUGGUUGGUUUGAAUUGCUUCAACACUGACUUUUUUACCCGUGUGUUUUGCCAGAAUUUAGCGGGUGAUCUUCGCCGAUUGUCCGUUGGAACUGGUAGGUUUACUUUGAAAAAAUUAGAGUGCUCAAAGCAAGCUUACUGCUUGAAUAGUUGCGCAUGGAAUAAUAGAAUAGGAAGUCGUUUCUAUUUUGUUGGUUUUCGGAAAUCGACUUAAUGAUUAACAGGGACAAUUGGGGGCAUUAGUAUUCAGACGACAGAGGUGAAAUUCUUGGACCGUCUGAAGACUGACUACUGCGAAAGCAUUUGCCAAGAGUGUUUUCAUCG
rnacentral:rRNA from 1 species